CAUGUCACAGCACACCCGGUUCGCCAACCGGGAAUUUGACGGGCCUCUAAGGACCCCAGAGGUACGAGGCGCAAUGGGAGGCCCUUGCACAGGCCUUAAGGGAGCACGGGCCCAAUAAGUCAGUGCAGGCAUGGAAAGUGGAUAUCCUGAACGAACUGAAAAUUUUUAAUGAGGCGCAGAAACAAAAAUGGAGUGUUUUGAAGGAGGGGCACGACUUGUUGGCGAAUCGGUUCAUCCUCUGACCUUUCCAAGGAGCAAGAUCUUAUUUUCGUGUAUGAGAGCCUUUGGAAUACAAUAUUAUUAACGCCCGAAUGAGUGCUACCGCGUUUAAUUUCGCCACUAGGGGUGCUAGUGUAGACGGAGGUCUUUCGAAAUGUCAAAUGCAUAGCUUUUUUAUCGUGAAUUUCUACUCCUCAUUCAUAAUUGUGGUAAAUCUUAUUUCAUCUUUGAUUAGUUAGUCACCAAACAAAAGUAACUCAAAUAGCCGUGUCCACACAGAGCGAGCAUACGCGCCAGGCAACUUCCUCACGCACAAAACGGCCAGUGUAGACGUGCCUCGGACGAGGCGGAGCGCGCGUUUUCCUCGCCCUAGUGCGCCGCCUCGGCCGAGGCACGUCUACACUGGCUGGGAUUACCAUCGAAUCGUCUAAUGUCGGUUUUGUUCCUUUGGGUUUGUUGUACCUAGUGACAUGUUUUUUAAACGAUUGCAACGCCAUCUGCGAGUUGCUCGAGAGACUCAACUUACACACAUAUAUGGAUGUGGCUUCAAAAGUAAUCACCGUUAAUAUCUCGUACCUUGAAUAAAGGACCCACUUCUUAAUUAUUAUUAUAAAUUAUAUUUUGGUAUUGUUCCAGUAUUAACACAUUGGAGGACACCGAGAUUAUUGAGAACUUGGAAGACACAGUUAUAAUGGAAGAGGAAGACGUCUGAGCUAAGCGCUGUCCUCGCACCCUCCGUCUAGUUUACGUUUGCGGCCAUAUCAAAAAUACACACCGUAUGUUUAUUAGGGUUCCGUACCAAAAAGGUACAAAAGGAACCCUUAUGGUGCUAUUGCUAAAUAUCUCGAGAAGUACUUAAGCUAUCGAUGUGAAAUUUGGAAUAGUAAUGAAUAACGCUGACCCAAACAUAUUGGAUGUGUAUUUAUUUUAUUUUAUUUGUAAGUAUUAAUAAUGGAAAAUUCCCAAUAUGAAGAGGGGGUAAAAUUGCAAAGUCUAGUUAAAUAGGUCAAGUGGGGUAUCAUUUGAAAGAGCUCAAAUUGAAAAUUACAAAACAAUUUUUUAUUUUCAUUGUGAAAAAAAAAUUUACGUAUGAAGGAAAAUGUGAAAAUAAUACCAUCCCCCCCCCCUCUCUCAUCUCCGAAGUUUAAGAAUAAAAAUUGUUUUUUUUACAUUGGUCAAGUCUUUCAUGAGAAAAUUUGAAGUUUGUACGGAACCCUCGGUGUGCGAGGUAAACGAACUCGCACUUGACCGGUUAUUCUUAUUGCCCAUAAGGCCCGUCCUUAGAUAUAUGUCAAUGAUUACGGUGAUCUCGAAAAUGGCUCAAAUGAUUUCAAUUAAAUUUGCUAUAUGGGGGUUUUCGGGGCGUUUUUGAGUUUUUACCUAUUUGUUUUCCGAGCAAAAGGAAUUAAAGUUUACUGAUUUUGAAAA